CCUACGGGUGGCAGCAGUGAGGAAUAUUGGUCAAUGGACGCAAGCCUGAACCAGCCAUGCCGCGUGCGGGAUGAAGGCUCUAUGAGUCGUAAACUGCUUUUGUACGGGGGUAAAACCCGAUACGUGUAUCGGGUUGAAAGUAUCGUACGAAUAAGGAUCGGCUAACUCCGUGCCAGCAGCCGCGGUAAUACGGAGGAUCCGGGCGUUAUCCGGAUUUAUUGGGGUUAAAGGGUGCGUAGGCGGUUCGAUAAGUUAGGGGUGAAAUGUCGGGGCUCAACCCCGAAACUGCCUUUGAAACUGUUGGACUAGAGUGGAGUAGAGGUAGGCGGAAUGUGUGGUGUAGCGGUGAAAUGCUUAGAGAUCA
rnacentral:rRNA from 1 species